GUGUCAGCAGCCGCGGUAAUACGUAGGAGACGAGCGUUAUCCGGAUUUACUGGGCGUAAAGAGGGCGUAGGCGGUCUUUCAAGUCGGAUGUGAAAUCUCCCGGCUUAACUGGGAGGGGUCAUUCGAUACUGUUGGGCUAGAGGGCAGCAGAGGGAGGUGGAAUUCCCGGUGUAGUGGUGAAAUGCGUAGAUAUCGGGAGGAACACCAGUGGCGAAGGCGGCCUCCUGGGCUGUUUCUGACGCUGAGGCCCAAAAGCGUGGGGAGCGAACAGGAUUAGAUACCCUGGUAGUCCACGCUGUAAACUAUGGACACUAGGUAUGGGGAGUAUCGACCCUCUCCGUGCCGAAGCUAACGCUUUAAGUGUCCCGCCUGGGGACUACGGCCGCAAGGCUAAAACUUAAAUGAAUUGGCGGGG
rnacentral:rRNA from 1 species